CAUUACCAUGCAGUCGACGAUGAUGCCCAGCUUGCUGGGUGGAUUAGUGGCGAACGGGUGAGUAACACGUGAGUAACCUGCCCCUGACUCUGGGAUAAGCGUUGGAAACGACGUCUAAUACUGGAUAUGAUCACUGGCCGCAUGGUCUGGUGGUGGAAAGAUUUUUUGGUUGGGGAUGGACUCGCGGCCUAUCAGCUUGUUGGUGAGGUAAUGGCUCACCAAGGCGACGACGGGUAGCCGGCCUGAGAGGGUGACCGGCCACACUGGGACUGAGACACGGCCCAGACUCCUACGGGAGGCAGCAGUGGGGAAUAUUGCACAAUGGGCGAAAGCCUGAUGCAGCAACGCCGCGUGAGGGAUGACGGCCUUCGGGUUGUAAACCUCUUUUAGUAGGGAAGAAGCGAAAGUGACGGUACCUGCAGAAAAAGCACCGGCUAACUACGUGCCAGCAGCCGCGGUAAUACGUAGGGUGCAAGCGUUGUCCGGAAUUAUUGGGCGUAAAGAGCUCGUAGGCGGUUUGUCGCGUCUGCUGUGAAAUCCCGAGGCUCAACCUCGGGCUUGCAGUGGGUACGGGCAGACUAGAGUGCGGUAGGGGAGAUUGGAAUUCCUGGUGUAGCGGUGGAAUGCGCAGAUAUCAGGAGGAACACCGAUGGCGAAGGCAGAUCUCUGGGCCGUAACUGACGCUGAGGAGCGAAAGCAUGGGGAGCGAACAGGAUUAGAUACCCUGGUAGUCCAUGCCGUAAACGUUGGGCGCUAGAUGUAGGGACCUUUCCACGGUUUCUGUGUCGUAGCUAACGC
rnacentral:rRNA from 1 species